rnacentral:rRNA from 1 species
CAAUAGCGUAUAUUAAAGUUGUUGCAGUUAAAAAGCUCGUAGUUGAAUUUCUGUCAGGAGUGACCGGGCCUUUGGAUGAACUUCCAUUGUUUUUUGCUCUGUUUGUCAUCUCUAGACAUCCUGAAAUAUUUUUUAAAAAUAUUUCUCUUUUACUGUUAGCAAAAUAGAGUGUUCCAAGCAAAGCGUAGUUUUGAAUACUUUAGAAUGGAAUAAUAAGAUAGGACUUUGGUGCUAUUUUGUUGGUUUGCACACCAAGGUAAUGAUUAAUAGGGACAGUUGGGGGUAUUCGUAUUUAAUUGUCAGAGGUGAAAUUCUUGGAUUUAUGAAAGACGAACUACUGCGAAAGCAUUUACCAAGGAUGCUUUCAUUAA